rnacentral:rRNA from 1 species
UACGGAGGGUGCGAGCGUUGUCCGGAAUCAUUGGGCGUAAAGGGCGCGUAGGUGGCCCGGUCAGUCUUUGGUGAAAGCGCGGGGCUCAACCCUGCGUCGGCCAUGAAUACUGCCGCGGCUGGAGCACUGUAGAGGCAGGCGGAAUUCCGGGUGUAGGCGGUGGAAUGCGUAGAGAUCCGAAAGAACACCGGUGGCGAAGGCGGCCUGCUGGGCAGUGCUGGACACUGAGGCGCGACAGCGUGGGGAGCAAACAGGG